rnacentral:rRNA from 1 species
GAUGAACGCUGGCGGCGUGCCUAAUACAUGCAAGUCGAGCGAACAGACGAGGAGCUUGCUCCUCUGAUGUUAGCGGCGGACGGGUGAGUAACACGUGGAUAACCUACCUAUAAGACUGGGAUAACUUCGGGAAACCGGAGCUAAUACCGGAUAACAUGUUGAACCGCAUGGUUCAACAGUGAAAGACGGUCUUGCUGUCACUUAUAGAUGGAUCCGCGCCGCAUUAGCUAGUUGGUAAGGUAACGGCUUACCAAGGCAACGAUGCGUAGCCGACCUGAGAGGGUGAUCGGCCACACUGGAACUGAGACACGGUCCAGACUCCUACGGGAGGCAGCAGUAGGGAAUCGUCCGCAAUUGGCGAAAGCCUGACGGAGCAACGCCGCGUGAGUGAAGAAGGUCUUCGGAUCGUAAAACUCUGUUAUUAGGGAAGAACAAAUGUGUAAGUAACUAUUCACGUCUUGACGGUACCUAAUCAGAAAGCCACGGCUAACUACGUG